rnacentral:misc_RNA from 1 species
GAUGUAGUUUGCAGUGCCUUAGCUCAAUUGCAUAUUAUUAUUCACUUUGACUGAGCAGCCUCAUGGAUUUGUUGGUGAUACCUCACCAUCAUCAGGCUCAAAGGCGUGCUAUGCAGUUAGGCAAGUCAUGUCUACCUCCAAUUUUUCUCCCUUUUAGAUGUGAGAAAGUUUAUUUUUGCGUCCUUUCACCUAGAAGCUUUCCAUCCGUGACCAAGUUAAUGAUUCUUAGUUUCGGCAUCACACGAAGAAAUUUUUUGCUACUUGUUUUUGGAUUUUAGGAAUACCUUGAAAAAUAUAAAAAGAGAUAGAUAAGGGCGAGAUGAUGUGAGAAACAUAAGAAGAAGAGGUCAAAAUGUGUAGAGAGAAAAGGGAGAGAGUGAGAGAGAGAUGAAGAGACAGUGACAGAGAGAUGGAGAGAGGCCUAAAUAGGAAGAUAAAGAGAGCAAAAGCGAAGGAUAGAGGGAGACAGAGAUGGGGAGAG